CUCCCCCUCCCCUGCGCUGUUGUUGUUCUUGAUGUCUGAAGAUGAUUUCUUUUUUCGUUCUUUGCUUUAGUUACGAGGAUCCUGACAAGUGCCUGCUUCUCUAUGGUGAUGAUCAGGGAUGUGUGAACAUUCUGUUUUUGGCUUCUGUCGGUGAACUAUUAAGACCCAAGAUGGCAACUGUGUACCGGGCAUAGGGCGGCCAGGGCCCUUCAGAAGGCAUAACCAUUGGAGUGAAUAUCUGGUGGAGCCGACUAUCUUGAGAGGAGAUUGACAUGGUUGGUAAAUAUGAACGCUAAGUACUCAGAAGUCUAAGCAAAUGAAAGUCCAGAGUCCAAAGAUCAUACCCGCAACUGAAAAACCAAGAAGAAGCAGUGCAAACGUGCUAUUUAGAGACAUGGAAUAGAUACCAAAUAAUCAUCUAAAAGAAGGAAACGUGGAGGCCUUCGGGGAUAGAAAGGAAGAAAGGGGUCCAGAUUCUUGCAGAACUGUUUGACUCUUCAAGCAACUGCAUGUAACUUAGAUUAAAAUAAAAAUAAAUUUUAAAAAAAGGAAAAGAAAAACAAGCAAAACUUCCCCCAAAAAUUCCAGAUUUUCAACUAUUUGAAGAUGACUAUUAAGUUUUCCCUUCUCCCAGGUAAACUGUUCUAGUUUUCUUAACUGUCCUUCAUCCGACCUCAUUUCAAGAUAUCUUGUCAUCCUGGCAUCUCUUCUGGACAAUGUCCCAAGUGCUCAGAACUGAGUACCACAAGGUAUCACACAGCCCACCAAUGCUUGACCCACUGGCAUAUUACAAUACCUCCCACUUUAAAGCCAUGUAUUCCUCAUCCUUUCCUUAUAAGUUAAUAUU